GUGCUCGCUUCGGCAGCACAUAUACUACAAUUAGAAUGAUUCAGAGAAGAUCAGCACGGAUCCUGCACAAGGAUGGCACGCAAAUUUGUGAAGCGCUCUAUAUUUUU
ensembl:snRNA LOC120093290 U6 spliceosomal RNA